rnacentral:tRNA from 1 species
GGCGAGAUAGCUCAGCCGGCUAGAGCGAUGGUCUCAUAAUCCAUAGGUCGGGGGUUCGAGUCCCCCUCUCGCCACCA